CUGAACAGAUGGGCGGGAGCUGGUGGGGGUGACCUCCAGUACCCACCACCAGGCCAGUGGAUCUCCCUGGGCCAGGGCUCGCCUUUGAAAGGAGGUUACAAUGAUUGAAGCUGAUACACUAAGCACCGUCUCGAGCAAGUAUUGGUGAUACACAAAGCUUAAAAGCAACUCCAGGACUUUUUU